AGUGCUGGGGGAAAAGAAGGAAAAACGUCAAUUACCCUCUUGUCUCCGGUGUCCCUUCUGACUUCAAACGAACUCCAGCAAAGUGAUGGAGGGUGGGAAGGCUGGAGAGAAGCGAGCUCCGGAAUGGGGGGUGGGGAGGCCGAUGCUGGCCGCGGGCUGGGCUGGGGCUGGCCUGCUCUGAAUCCAGGAGGAACCCGCAGGCCAGGGCCUAGUCCCGCAGCGCUGCCGCUGAGGUCUUGGCUGAGGACUUCGAAGGACUGGCCUCUCAUUGCGCCACCGAUGAUGGAAUAUUUAGCGCUAGCCUUUAGAGGCUGAGGGCAAGGUCCAGUAAGGGGACGACGCUGUUGGCUCUACAUAGCCUGUCGCAAGGGAGAAAGAAGUCCUUUCUAAAGCUCCUUUUGUAGCUGCUCAGGGAGAAAUGGAGGCUGGGACUCGGGGUGAGAUCUUGCACAGCUCGAAGGUGGAGUUCAUGGCCUGGUAGAGCUGCAGUUGCUCCUGGGAGGAGCACCUGGAACAGGGGUUUGUUGAGAGGAAUGGUCUGUAGGAUGCUUCCAUCGGAACUCACGUACCCAAUAGCCCACUGCCCCAGGCGGGUGCAGCUGGGCCUGAAGAUGUAGCUGUGGGAAGAGAGGCGGGAUGCAGAGAGAGAGUGGCCGCUGCUGUCCCUGCGGGGAACACCCUGUGGUCUGCCCUGCCCGGGAUCCAGCUCGAAGUGGAUGGGGAGCUCUGGAAAGAAGCUGAUAUUCUACCCUGGCUUUCCAGAGCCCUGCAGAGACCGAUAAACCAGACAUUUCCUCAACCUGUGGGUGCUCAGCUCCUCAUCCUUAGCCCAUGGAGGAGAUCCAACUACUCCAAGCUCCUGCCUUGAAAGGACGUGAGGUCUCCGAUGUCAAGUUUCCCAGUCUCUAAACUGGGAGGGCUCACGUGCGAAAUAUUUAAGAGGUGGACAGGCUGAGCGUUCUGCCCACCUGUAAUCCCAGCAUUCAGGAAAUUGAGGCGAGAGGCUCCUAAGUUCAAAGUGAGCCUGGGCGAUAGAGAGACCCUGUCUUAAAGGAAAAGAAAGGAAAAGAAAAGAAAACAAACCCUAGAAAAAUGCUGAGUGUAGGGAUAACCUCUGUAACCCCAGCAUUUGCAAGGGAAAGGAAGGAUGAUCAGGAUUUCAAGGGUCAUCCUUGGCUACAUGGCAAGUUUGAGGCUAGCCUGGGCUAUAUGAAGCAAGCCCUCUUACCGUGGAACAAUCUUUUUGCACACUAUGAAUAUGUACUACUCUCAUUGGCUGAUAAAGAGCUGACUGACCUAUAGCUGGCCAGGAGAAGGUUAGGCAGGAAAACCACACUAAGAGGAUGCUGGGAAGAAGGAGGGCGGAGUCACAGGAGUCAGAGCAGUCGCCAGCCAGACGCAGAGGGAGUAAGAGAUGAACAUGCCAUGCUAAUAAAGGUACUGCCACAUGGCAAAGGGUAGAUAAGAAAUAUGGGUUAAUUUAAAAUGUAAGAGCUAGUUAGUAAUA